rnacentral:lncRNA from 1 species
AGACAUAUAAGGAUUCAGAGAGUUGACACAUUACCUGAGCUGCAGCAGUGCAACAAGUGUUACAGCAAUUACCAGCAAUUUUCUGCUUGACCAGCAUGUUUAAGCCAGCCAAACUGGUCAAAUUAAUAAGUCAUCUUCAAAUCCACUUCAACAUGCAGUUGUCUGUGGAGUACAUCUUGUCUUGGGAGCACCCUUUGAUUUUACAUCUUGUGACAUUCCAAUCAUACGGAGAUGGUGGACUCCAGAUGGUUUUCUCUGAAAGUGCAGAAACCCUACAAGAGGCCCUUCCAAUUGGAUAACAGGCUACGCUUGUGAGGAGAUCCCAGUAAUCUCACAGAAGUUGUGAAAUGGCUCCAUUAAACAGACAUCUGCUCAGGGGGCCAGGGGAAGAGCCUCUUUUCCUUAUAAUGGAGGAAGAGGACAAGGAAAAGACCCUCAACAAUCUCCUGGAACAGAAGUUUCCAGAGUGCCCUUCAUAUUUCAUCUUGUGUUCA